GCCCUUAUAGCUCAGUUGUAGAGUGUCAGUCUUGUAAACUGAAGGUCCUUCGUGAGGGCA
rnacentral:tRNA from 1 species